GUCAGUGGCCACGCCACCCUGAACACGCCGAUCCCGUCUGAUCUCAGAAGCCAGGCACGGUCGGGCCUGGGAGACCACCCAGGAAGACCGGGCGCUGUAGGCG
rnacentral:rRNA from 1 species